GGAGGGUGCAAGCGUUGUCCGGAAUCACUGGGUGUAAAGGGUGUGUAGGCGGGGCGGCAAGUCAGAGGUGAAAUCCUACAGCUCAACUGUAGAACUGCCUCUGAUACUGCUGUUCUUGAGUUUCGGAGAGGUCACUAGAAUUCGUGGUGUAGCGGUGAAAUGCGCAGAUAUCACGAGGAAUACCAGAGGCGUAGGCGGGUGACUGGACGAAUACUGACGCUGAGGCACGAAAGCGUGGGGAGCAAACAGGAUUAGAUACCCUGGUAGUCCCACGCCCGUAAACCGAUGGAUGCUCGGUGUCGCGCCUUUUUUUGGCGCGUUGCCCAAGCUAACGCGUUAAGCAUCCCACCUGGGGAGUACGCUCGCAAGAGUG
rnacentral:rRNA from 1 species